rnacentral:rRNA from 1 species
AUUGAACGCUGGCGGCAGGCUUAACACAUGCAAGUCGAGCGGGGUGAGGUGCUUCGGUACUGAUCCUAGCGGCGGACGGGUGAGUAAUGCUUAGGAAUCUGCCAUUUAGUGGGGGACAACAUUCCGAAAGGAAUGCUAAUACCGCAUACGUCCUACGGGAGAAAGCAGGGGAUCUUCGGACCUUGCGCUAAAUGAUGAGCCUAAGUCGGAUUAGCUAGUUGGUGGGGUAAAGGCCUACCAAGGCGACGAUCUGUAGCGGGUCUGAUAGGAUGAGCCGCCACAGUGGGACUGGUACACGGCCCCGAGUCCUACGGGAGGCAGCAGUGGGGAGUAUUGGACAAUGGGCGGAAGCAUGAUCCAGCCAUGCCGCGUGUGUGAAGAAGGCCUUUUGGUUGUAAAGCACUUUAAGCGAGGAGGAGGCUACCUGGAUUAAUACUCUGGGAUAGUGGACGUUACUCGCAGAAUAAGCACCGGCUAACUCUGUGCCAGCCGCCGCCGUAAAAC